rnacentral:rRNA from 1 species
GGCUUAGAGUUUGAUCCUGGCUCAGAACGAACGCUGNCGGCAGGCUUAACACAUGCAAGUCGAGCGCCCCGCAAGGGGAGCGGCAGACGGGUGAGUAACACGUGGGAAUCUACCCAUCCCUGCGGAACAACUCCGGGAAACUGGAGCUAAUACCGCAUACGCCCUACGGGGGAAAGAUUUAUCGGGGAUGGAUGAGCCCGCGUUGGAUUAGCUAGUUGGUGGGGUAAAGGCCUACCAAGGCGACGAUCCAUAGCUGGUCUGAGAGGAUGAUCAGCCACAUUGGGACUGAGACACGGCCCAAACUCCUACGGGAGGCAGCAGUGGGGAAUAUUGGACAAUGGGCGCAAGCCUGAUCCAGCCAUCCCGCGUGAGUGAUGAAGGCCUUAGGGUUGUAAAGCUCUUUCACCGGUGA